UGCCAGCCGCCGCGGUAAUACGGAGGGGGUUAGCGUUGUUCGGAAUUACUGGGCGUAAAGCGCACGUAGGCGGAUUAGUCAGUUAGAGGUGAAAUCCCAGGGCUCAACCCUGGAACUGCCUUUAAUACUGCUAGUCUUGAGUUCGAGAGAGGUGAGUGGAAUUCCAAGUGUAGAGGUGAAAUUCGUAGAUAUUUGGAGGAACACCAGUGGCGAAGGCGGCUCACUGGCUCGAUACUGACGCUGAGAUGCGAAGGCAUGGGUAGCAAACGGGAUUAGAUA
rnacentral:rRNA from 1 species